rnacentral:lncRNA from 1 species
GCAACUAGGAAGGAGGAUGUUUGGGUAUUGCUUUACGUUCUUAAAUUUAGCGUGAAGCCCCGGGCCUGCGGGUCCUGCACCAGAGCGAUAGUGAGGCUCAGAGGCUCUGUUAAGAGCUCCGGACGCAGACCGAGCCCAAGACGCUUCAAUCCCAGGUCAGCCCACGCGCCCCGCGGCCACUCACCUGGCCAUGACCUUCCGCACGUUGUCCGCGAAGAGGGCGGGGCUCUCCCGCUCUUCCUGCGAGGGGGUGUAGACAGGCAGGAACUGCAGCCAACAGGGAGAGAGGAGGUGUGUUGAGGGGGGCGGGGCUAGGCGGGAGGGAGGAAGACCAAGUGAAGGGGGGGGGUUUACCUCCACUGUGACGUUGGUGUAGAGCUGAGAGGCUGUGUACCACAUGACCUGGGUCCUGCAAGGAGAGCACAGCAGUUAACAUGACAGAGGGCGUGUGCUACAGGAGUCUACAGGAGCCCACAGGAGCCUACAGGAGCCCACAGCCCACAGGAGACCACAGACCACAGGAGCUCUCCCAGCACUCACCAACUCAGCCCCUUCCACGUCCACCUCACUGUGUCCUGCAGGCAAGACAACACAGGGGUCAGUCCAGGACAGGUCAUGCAGGGGCUGGACACUGACAGGGCAAGCUGGUCUGCAGGCUGACCGCCUGGAAACACUCAGCCAGCACGUCAGACUGACACUCCUUCAUCAUCAUCAUCAUCAUCUCUCAGUGUCACUCAGCCAGCACGUCAGACUGACACUCCUUCAUCAUCAUCAUCAUCAUCAUCGCUCAGUGUCACUCAGCCAGCACGUCAGACUGACACUCCUUCAUCAUCAUCAUCAUCAUCAUCUCUCAGUGUCACUCAGCCAGCACGUCAGACUGACACUCCUUCAUCAUCAUCAUCAUCAUCAUCAUCAUCGAUCAGUGUCACUCAGCCAGCACGUCACUCACUCCUUCAUCAUCAUCAUCAUCAUCAUCUCUCAGUGUCACUCA